ensembl:snoRNA
CUGCAUGUUUAUCCAAGAGCUGUGGCUCCACACAGUAGCUGCAGGUCUCCAAAAACAUGCCAGAGCAAUGGGAAGGUCUUUGAUUGCUGGGCCUCUUCUGCCCAUGACUGUCACUCACCCCUCCAAUACGU